rnacentral:rRNA from 1 species
GUUGAAACCCAAACCUCCUUGUCAGACCUCAGAAGCUAAGCAGGGCUGGGCUGGGUUAGUACUUGGAUGGGAAACCACUAGGAAUACCAGGUGCCACA